rnacentral:rRNA from 1 species
ACGCUCGACACCUACUGGAGGCAGCAGUGGGGAAUAUUGCGCAAUGGGGGCAACCCUGACGCAGCAACGCCGCGUGAGCGAUGAAGGUUUUCGGAUCGUAAAGCUCUGUUCUGAGGGAAGAUAGUGACGGUACCUCAGGAGAAAGCCCCGGCUAACUACGUGUCAGCAGCCGCGGUAACUGAGCGGGCUGGCAAGGC